rnacentral:rRNA from 1 species
GAUGAACGCUGGCGGCGUGCCUAAUACAUGCAAGUCGAGCGAACGGACGAGAAGCUUGCUUCUCUGAUGUUAGCGGCGGACGGGUGAGUAACACGUGGAUAACCUACCUAUAAGACUGGUAUAACUUCGGGAAACCGGAGCUAAUACCGGAUAAUAUUUUGAACCGCAUGGUUCAAAAGUGAAAGACGGUCUUGCUGUCACUUAUAGAUGGAUCCGCGCUGCAUUAGCUAGUUGGUAAGGUAACGGCUUACCAAGGCAACGAUGCAUAGCCGACCUGAGAGGGUGAUCGGCCACACUGGAACUGAGACACGGUCCAGACUCCUACGGGAGGCAGCAGUAGGGAAUCUUCCGCAAUGGGCGAAAGCCUGACGGAGCAACGCCGCGUGAGUGAUGAAGGUCUUCGGAUCGUAAAACUCUGUUAUUAGGGAAGAACAUAUGUGUAAGUAACUGUGCACAUCUUGACGGUACCUAAUCAGAAAGCCACGGCUAACUACGUGCCAGCAGCCGCGGUAAUACGUAGGUGGCAAGCGUUAUCCGGAAUUAUUGGGCGUAAAGCGCGCGUAGGCGGUUUUUUAAGUCUGAUGUGAAAGCCCACGGCUCAACCGUGGAGGGUCAUUGGAAACUGGAAAACUUGAGUGCAGAAGAGGAAAGUGGAAUUCCAUGUGUAGCGGUGAAAUGCGCAGAGAUAUGGAGGAACACCAGUGGCGAAGGCGACUUUCUGGUCUGUAACUGACGCUGAUGUGCGAAAGCGUGGGGAUCAAACAGGAUUAGAUACCCUGGUAGUCCACGCCGUAAACGAUGAGUGCUAAGUGUUAGGGGGUUUCCGCCCCUUAGUGCUGCAGCUAACGCAUUAAGCACUCCGCCUGGGGAGUACGACCGCAAGGUUGAAACUCAAAGGAAUUGACGGGGACCCGCACAAGCGGUGGAGCAUGUGGUUUAAUUCGAAGCAACGCGAAGAACCUUACCAAAUCUUGACAUCCUUUGACAACUCUAGAGAUAGAGCCUUCCCCUUCGGGGGGGCAAAGUGACAGGUGGUGCAUGGUUGUCGUCAGCUCGUGUCGUGAGAUGUUGAGUUAAGUCCCGCAACGAGCGCAACCCUUAAGCUUAGUUGCCAUCAUUAAGUUGGGCACUCUAAGUUGACUGCCGGUGACAAACCGGAGGAAGGUGGGGAUGACGUCAAAUCAUCAUGCCCCUUAUGAUUUGGGCUACACACGUGCUACAAUGGACAAUACAAAGGGCAGCGAAACCGCGAGGUCAAGCAAAUCCCAUAAAGUUGUUCUCAGUUCGGAUUGUAGUCUGCAACUCGACUACAUGAAGCUGGAAUCGCUAGUAAUCGUAGAUCAGCAUGCUACGGUGAAUACGUUCCCGGGUCU